GGGUGGUAAUGCCGGAUGUUCCACAUGAUCGCAUGUGAUUGUGGGAAAGAUUCUAUCGGCGUGGGAUGGGGUCGCGUCCUAUCAGCUUGUUGGUGAGGUAACGGCUCACCAAGGCUUCGACGGGUAGCCGGCCUGAGAGGGCGACCGGCCACAUUGGGACUGAGAUACGGCCCAGACUCCUACGGGAGGCAGCAGUGGGGAAUAUUGCACAAUGGGCGCAAGCCUGAUGCAGCGACGCCGCGUGAGGGAUGGAGGCCUUCGGGUUGUAAACCUCUUUUGUUUGGGAGCAAGCCUUCGGGUGAGUGUACCUUUCGAAUAAGCGCCGGCUAACUACGUGCCAGCAGCCGCGGUAAUACGUAGGGCGCAAGCGUUAUCCGGAUUUAUUGGGCGUAAAGGGCUCGUAGGCGGCUCGUCGCGUCCGGUGUGAAAGUCCAUCGCUUAACGGUGGAUCUGCGCCGGGUACGGGCGGGCUGGAGUGCGGUAGGGGAGACUGGAAUUCCCGGUGUAACGGUGGAAUGUGUAGAUAUCGGAAAAGAAACACCA
rnacentral:rRNA from 1 species